rnacentral:rRNA from 1 species
CGAUAACGAACGAGACCUUAACCUGCUAAAUAGCUAGGCCUAACAUUGUUAGGUCGCCAGCUUCUUAGAGGGACUAUCGGUGUUUAACCGAUGGAAGUUUGAGGCAAUAACAGGUCUGUGAUGCCCUUAGAUGUUCUGGGCCGCACGCGCGCUACACUGACGAAGCCAGCGAGUAUAUAACCUGUCUCGAUAGGGAUGGGUAAUCUUCUGAAACUUCGUCGUGAUGGGGAUAGAUCUUUGUAAUUAUCGAUCUUCAACGAGGAAUUCCUAGUAAGUGCGAUUCAUCAGAUCGCGCUGAUUACGUCCCUGCCCUUUGUACACACCGCCCGUCGCUACUACCGAUUGAAUGGCU